AAGAAACGGAGACCAACGUUGAACGGACAGUGGUACACUACUGACAGAUCGGAAAAAUUAGUGCAAUUCCUCGAGGAGAUAACAGGUGUGUCAGCUGACAGAGAAUGGCUUGCUUGAAACUUUUUUUAAGAAGUUAUAUCUGGAGAACAUCGUAAAUUUAAAAGGAGGUAUUACAUGGGGAAAAAAUACACAGUACACAGUCCUGCUGCUGGCUGUCAUUAUUGGCAUCGUCGCUGCGAAACCAGGAUACUUAGGUGGAUACUACGGCGGAUAUUAUCCUUACAUUUAUAGCUACAGAUAUCCGUUCUACGGAUAUGGCCACGGAUUCGGACAUUA